rnacentral:tRNA from 1 species
AAGGAUUUAAGUUAAGAAUAAACUUGUAGUCUUCAAAACUGCGUAUAAAGAUCCCUCUUUAAGCCUUA